rnacentral:tRNA from 1 species
GUCCCCGUCGUCUAGUGGUUAGGACAUGAGCCCCUCACGCUCAGAACACGGGUUCGAAUCCCGUCAGGGACGCCA